UACGGGGGGGUAAGCGUUGUUCGGAAUUACUGGGCGUAAAGGGCUCGUAGGCGGCCAACUAAGUCAGACGUGAAAUCCCUCAGCUUAACUGGGGAACUGCGUCUGAUACUGGAUGGCUUGGAUUCGGGAGAGGAAUGCGGAAUUCCAGGUGUAGCGGGUGAAAUGACGUAGAUAUCUGGAGGAACACCGGUGGCGAAGGCGGCAUUCUGGACCGAUAUUGACGCUGAGGAGCGAAAGCCAGGGGAGCAAACGGG
rnacentral:rRNA from 1 species